UGGUCAGAAACUAUACAGAAUCUCAUCACCUCUUCAAGUCCCAACCCAAUAUCUUCUUCUCCUACUCCAUCGUCCUCAUCUUCAUCCUCUUCCUCAACAUCGGUGACCACUCCGGUCCACAAUUGCUCAAAACAAACACUUCUAGACGCUGCUUCCGCCAUUUACGAAGGCAAAAGCGAUGUUGCGAGUGAGAUCUUGAUGAGGGUAUCGCAGGUCUUGAACCCGAGAGGUAAUUCUGAACAUAGGUUGAUGGAGUACAUGUUGCUGGCACUCAAAUCGCGGGUUAACCCUGUUGAGAAUCCGCCGCCAGUGGCGGAGCUGUAUAGCAA
rnacentral:misc_RNA from 1 species